GAUGCCAAGAUGGCUGCUACAUACGCACCCAAAGACA
rnacentral:tRNA from 1 species